UACGAAGGGGGGCUAGCGUUGCUCGGAAUCACUGGGCGUAAAGGGUGCGUAGGCGGGUCUUUUAAGUCAGGGGUGAAAUCCUGGAGCUCAACUCCAGAACUGCCUUUGAUACUGAAGAUCUUGAGUUCGGGAGAGGUGAGUGGAACUGCGAGUGUAGAGGUGAAAUUCGUAGAUAUUCGCAAGAACACCAGUGGCGAAGGCGGGUCUCUGGACAGUUCCUGGACGCUGAGGCACGAAGGUCAGGGGAGCAAACGGGG
rnacentral:rRNA from 1 species